rnacentral:rRNA from 1 species
GAUGAACGCUGGCGGCGUGCCUAAUACAUGCAAGUCGAGCGAACGGACGAGAAGCUUGCUUUUCUGAUGUUAGCGGCGGGCGGGUGGGUAACACGUGGAUAACCUACCUAUAAGACUGGGAUAACUUCGGGAAACCGGAGCUAAUACCGGAUAAUAUUUUGAACCGCAUGGUUCAUAAGUGAAAGACGGUCUUGCUGUCACUUAUAGAUGGAUCCGCGCUGCAUUAGCUAGUUGGUAAGGUAACGGCUUACCAAGGCAACGAUGCAUAGCCGACCUGAGAGGGUGAUCGGCCACACUGGAACUGAGACGCGGUCCAGACUCCUACGGGAGGCAGCAGUAGGGAAUCUUCCGCAAUGGGCGAAAGCCUGACGGAGCAACGCCGCGUGAGUGAUGAAGGUCUUCGGAUCGUAAAACUCUGUUAUUAGGGAAGAACAUAUGUGUAAGUAACUGUGCACGUCUUGACGGUACCUAAUCAGAAAGCCACGGCUAACUACGUG